CAGCCACCGCGGUAAUACGGAGGGUGCAAGCGUUAAUCGGAAUUACUGGGCGUAAAGCGCACGCAGGCGGUCUGACAAGUCAGAUGUGAAAUCCCCGGGCUUAACCUGGGAACUGCAUUUGAAACUGUCAGGCUGGAGUCUUGUAGAGGGGGGUGGAAUUCCAGGUGUAGCGGUGAAAUGCGUAGAGAUCUGGAGGAAUACCGGUGGCGAAGGCGGCCCCCUGGACAAAGACUGACGCUCAGGUGCGAAAGCGUGGGGAGCAAACAGGAUUAGAUACCCGUGUAGUCCCUGUCUCUUAUAC
rnacentral:rRNA from 1 species